rnacentral:rRNA from 1 species
AAUGAACGCUGGCGGCAUGCCUAAUACAUGCAAGUCGAGCGAACAGACGAGGAGCUUGCUCCUCUGACGUUAGCGGCGGACGGGUGAGUAACACGUGGUUAACAUACCUAUCCGACUGGGAUAACUUCGGGAGACCGGAGCUGCUACCGGAUAAUAUAUUGAACCUCAUGGUUCAAUAGUGAAAGACGGUUUUGCUGUCGCUAAUAGAUUGCUCCGCGCCGCAUUAGCUAGUUGGUAAGGUAACGGCUUACCAAGGCAACGAGGCGUAGACGACCCGAGAGGGUGGUCGCACAGACGGGAAGAGAGAAAGGGCACAGACUCUUACGGGAGGCAGCGGUAGAGAAUCCUACGCGAUGCGCGAGUGCGUGAUAGUGCAACGUCGCGGGAGGGAUGAUGGUCUUCUGAUGGUAAAGCGCUGUUAGUAUGGGAGUACAAAAGUGCAAGUAACUGGGAAGGUAUUGACGGUACCGGGUCAGAAAGCCACGGCUAACUACGUG